AUUGAACGCUGGCGGCAGGCCUAACACAUGCAAGUCGAGCGAGCGGCGGACGGGUGUGUAUUGUCUGGGAAACUGCCUGAUGGAGGGGGAUAACUACUGGAAACGGUAGCUAAUACCGCAUACCAUCAGAUGUGCCCAGAUGUGAUUAGCUAGUAGGUGGGGUAACGGCUCACCUAGGCGACGAUCCCUAGCUGGUCUGAGAGGUUGACCAGCAACACUGGAACUGAGACACGGUCCAGACGCCUACGGGAGGCAGCAGUGGGGAAUAUUGCACAAUGGGCGCAAGCCUGAUGCAGCCAUGCCGCGUGUAUGAAGAAGGCCUUCGGGUUGUAAAGCACUUGCAGCGGGGAGGCGUUACCCGCAGAAGAAGCACCGGCUAACGCCGUGCCAGCAGCCGCGGUAAUUC
rnacentral:rRNA from 1 species